AAUCUACCUACCUCGCAGGGAACAAACCUCUCGAAAGAGAGGCUAAUACCCAAAAGGGUCAGAAAUGAUCAGAGUCGAAAGGCGUGAGGAGAGGAGCCCGCGGCCCAUCAGCUAGUUGGUGAGGUAAUGGCUUACCAAGGCUACGACGGGUAGGGGAUCUGAGAGGAUGUCCCCCACACUGGAACUGAAACACGGUCCAGACGCCUACGGGUGGCAGCAGUGAGGAAUAUUGGACAAUGGGCGAAAGCCCGAUCCAGCAACGCCGCGUGGAGGAUGAAGGCCUUCGGGUCGUAAACUUCUUUAGAGGGAGACGAGAAAGGACGGUAUCCCUAGAAUAAGCGACGGCAAACUACGUG
rnacentral:rRNA from 1 species